rnacentral:rRNA from 1 species
UACGGAAGGGGCGAGCGUUGUCCGGAAUCAUUGGGCGUAAAGGGCGCGUAGGUGGCCACUUCAAGCGUGCGGUGAAAGUCGGGGGCUCAACCCCUGAUCGGCCGUGCGAACUGGGGGGCUGGAGCACUGUAGAGGCAGGCGGAAUUCCGGGUGUAGCGGUGGAAUGCGUAGAGAUCCGGAAGAACACCGGUGGCGAAGGCGGCCUGCUGGGCAGUUUUGCUGACACUGAGGCGCGACAGCGUGGGGAGCAACAGG